rnacentral:rRNA from 1 species
AUGGAAAAACAUCUUGUAAUGUAUUUAACCAGAAAAUCGAUUAUGCUCCUACGGAAGUAUCUACUCGUAACGGAAUUUCAGGUGUCAAAGUGCGGAUCUCAUAUAGUCAAAAUAAGAAGGGACGUGCUAUAUCCUAAACGUACGAAAUAUAGUAAAUAUUUUAAAUGCAGAUGUAGUAGGGGUCGCGAACCGGAUGGUACACAACUUGGUUUUGGAAGAUAUGGCACCAAAAGUUGUAGAGCUGGUCGUCUUUCAUAUCGAGCCAUUGAAGCAGCGCGUCGGGCUACAAUUGGACAAUUCCAUCAUGCUAUGAGCGGACAAUUCCGAAGAAAUUGUAAGAUAUGGGUAAGAGUUCUCGCAGAUCUUCCUAUUACGGGGAAACCCGCAGAAGUUUGA